AUGGCUCCCGCGAGCUCUGGAUCUUACUGAGUGCUUUUGUAGGCUCCUUCGAGUCUCAGUCCUCAAGUCGCCCUUAGCCUGGCAGAGGCACUGAGAGUCCUUUAUCACUGGCAGACCUUCAUGGCUGCCGGGUACCUACCAUAUUUGUGCUUCAGUUGACAAGGAGGCCAGCGGAGCCCCCCACUCUAGCUCCCUGUUACGUCAGUGAAAAUGGAAUUUCUUUGGAAUGGUGUUCAUUGUCAUGGUGCCAGGAUCUCAUCAUAAUCAACACUGCAGAGGAAAUACCAAAGGAAGCAAUAAUGAUCUGCCAUUUGUUGUAAA